rnacentral:lncRNA from 1 species
GUCGGGCGGCUGCCAGUUCCCGUACUUUCGUAUCAGAACAGAGACGGCGGGUGAGCGCGCUGUGCGCCUGUACAGUGCCAAUGCCUCCUUGGCUGUACAAACACAAGUGCUGGGACGACGCGACCCUAGUAAGCGCCCUACGAUGAAUCGGAUACACGCGAGUGCUUCGCGAGACGCUGUGCGCACACUUCUCGCUGCCGAAAGCCGUCUCGUUCAGGACGCAUUGAAGCGGACACAGCCUGCUGUGAACAACAACACGACGGCGGGAUGACGGAUUUCUUGCGAGUCAGCGCCGAUAUUGCAGAUGUGACGAAGCUAAGGAAAUGUGGGCACUGGGGACGAUGGGAUCAAGUAAAAGCCCUCUACGAUGGAUCACAUACGCGCGAAACUGUAGGUUCUUCAAGCAACGUUAGUGCGCGCGCCGUUAUCGACAAUGCCUUCAUCUACCGAAAGUUGCGUCGAUCUGUUUGCAACGACAAGAAUUCUGAACAAGAGUAGACCAAUUGAGGCUGCCACAAGUGUCCUUGAAAAUGUAAAAAUACCUGCCAGUGGAAGCUGCUUGGGGAAUGUGGAGGCCAUGCAUUUUAUUCAGCUGUACGCAUUUCUGCUCAAUCUUUUUAAUGCUAUGAAAAUACACAAGAUAACACCUAUGAUGACACAGCAUAACACACCCAGUUUCUUAUGUCUUUUGGCAUUGAGGAUAAGAGGCACCUUAUUCCUUGGUAUAAAUUUCGCAUGUUUACAGUUAUGUAAGUGAGAAGCUUGACAACUUCUUGCAUGCCAGUUUAUAUGUCUCUCUACGAGAUGUGGACAUCUAUAAAUCCAGAAGCCCGAAAUAUCACUUUUGACAAAUGUGAAGAUGUAGAGAUGCAGAACUGUGAAAUGUUAUUUAUUCUUUAAACGAACUUCCAAUUCAGCGAAGCAUUAUACAAGUACCAAUGUUCAUAUGGCUCAUGACUGGCAUGUGGAAUGGUCUUUACAAAGGUUCUCCACUGCCAACCAGGGUUGUUGCUAGUGUUGUACUAGGCAUGUGUUCCCCUCUCCCCCCAAAAAAACCCCUGUGACAGCACUGCUGCCAGCACCAUGGAUGAAACAAUGCAAGCAACAACUACAGUGCUAAAUGCAUGAAACACCUCGCCAUCAAGGUCGAAUCAUUGUGCUAUGGCCCAAGAGGAGCAAGGUAUAGUCGCACAGAGAAGUAGAUUGGGCAAUUUGUAAAAUGCAUUGCCACGAGGCCCUCUGAGCACGCAGUCAGUGGAUGCUUUAUGACUUCUUCAUGGCACUCUUUCCAUUAUGAGAAAGACAUUGAUAUGCUGCUUUGUUGAUGUAAUGAUUUCUCCUAAGUUACAAAGACUACAGUGACUGCAAGCUGUGCUUAAAUAGGGAGGGUAGUGUAAAGCCUGGCGAUGCAGCUUUGCACCAUUUUUAUAGAACUGUCCCUCACUGUGUGGCAAGAGGCAUGCUUUGGAGGUAGUAGCAUCGAACUACUUUCUAAAUUUGAGCAAACACCUUUGUAUGCCACUCAAGGCAUGUCAGAAGGUAUUGCAUGUUCUUGUAGCCUACUUUGGCAGCCUAAGAUACACCCCAAAUUUGGUAAUAAACUGCCAUGAAGAUUGCAUCCUUUUACAAGCGGGGCUUUUAUUUUAGAUGUGCAGCAGUAGCGCAGGCAUAUGUGCCAUGAAUUGCACAUAUA